rnacentral:rRNA from 1 species
GAUUAUGGCUCAGGAUGAACGCUAGCGGCAGGCUUAACACAUGCAAGUCGAGGGGCGAGCGGGAUGUAGCAAUACAUUGCCGGCGACCGGCGGAUGGGUGCGUAACGCGUAUGCAACCUACCUUAUACAGGGGAAUAACCUUUCGAAAGGGAGACUAACACCCCAUAGUAUUGAUUUAAGGCAUCUUAGAUUAAUUAAAUAUUUAUAGGUAUAAGAUGGGCAUGCGUAUGAUUAGCUAGUUGGUAAGGUAACGGCUUACCAAGGCGACGAUCAUUAGGGGUUCUGAGAGGAAGGUCCCCACACUGGUACUGAGACACGGACCAGACUCCUACGGGAGGCAGCGGUGAGGAAUAUUGGUCAAUGGGCGCAAGCCUGAACCAGCCAUGCCGCGUGCAAGGAAGACGGCCUUAUGGGUUGUAAACUGCUUUUACAUAAGACUAACCGUAUAUUUGCGAAUAUACCUGAAUGUAUUAUGAGAAUAAGGAUCGGCUAACUCCGUGCCAGCAGCCGC